rnacentral:rRNA from 1 species
GCACAAGCGGUGGAGCAUUGUGGUUAAUUCGAAGCAACGCGAAGAACCUUACCAGGCCUUGACAUGCAGAGAACUUUCCAGAGAUGGAUUGGUGCCUUCGGGAACUCUGACACAGGUGCUGCAUGGCUGUCGUCAGCUCGUGUCGUGAGAUGUUGGGUUAAGUCCCGUAACGAGCGCAACCCUUGUCCUUAGUUACCAGCACGUUAUGGUGGGCACUCUAAGGAGACUGCCGGUGACAAACCGGAGGAAGGUGGGGAGUGACGUCAAGUCAUCAUGGCCCUUACGGCCUGGGCUACACACGUGCUACAAUGGUCGGUACAAAGGGUUGCCAAGCCGCGAGGUGGAGCUAAUCCCAAUAAAACCGAUCGUAGUCCGGAUCGCAGUCUGCAACUCGACUGCGUGAAGUCGGAAUCGCUAGUAAUCGUGAAUCAGAAUGUCACGGUGAAUACGUUCCCGGGCCUU